rnacentral:rRNA from 1 species
GAUGAACGCUAGCUACAGGCUUAACACAUGCAAGUCGAGGGACCGGCGCACGGGUGAGUAACACGUAUCCAACCUGCCCUUUACUCGUGGAUAUCCUUUCGAAUGAAAGAUUACUCCCCGAUAUAAAGGCUGGGGAUGCGUUCGUUUGGGUUGUUGUUAAGGUAACGGCUCACCAAGCCUUCGAUGGAUAGGGGUUCUGUGAGGAAGGUCCCCCACAUUGGAACAGAGACACGGUCCAAACUCCGACGGGAGGCAGGAGUUAGGAGUAUUGGUAAAGGGGCGCUAGCCUGAACCGGCCAAGUAGGGUAAAGGAUGAAGGCUUAUGGAUCGUGAUCUUCUUUUAGAUAAGAAUAUGUAUUAAAUGAAUAAGGAUCGGCUAACUCCGUGCCAGCAGCCGCGGUAAUUC